rnacentral:rRNA from 1 species
UGGGGAAUUUUGGACAAUGGGCGCAAGCCUGAUCCAGCCAUGCCGCGUGCGGGAAGAAGGCCNUUCGGGUUGUAAACCGCUUUGUCAGGGAAGAAAUCUUCUGAGUUAAUACCUCGGGAGGAUGACGGUACCUGAAGAAUAAGCACCGGCUAACUACGUGCCAGCAGCCGCGGUAAUACGUAGGGUGCAAGCGUUAAUCGGAAUUACUGGGCGUAAAGCGUGCGCAGGCGGUUUUGUAAGACAGAGGUGAAAUCCCCGGGCUCAACCUGGGAACUGCCUUGUGACUGCAAGGCUUGAGUGCGGCAGAGGGGGAAUGGAAUUCCGCGUGUAGCAGUGAAAUGCGUAGAUAUGCGGA